rnacentral:rRNA from 1 species
AUUGAACGCUGGCGGCAGGCCUAACACAUGCAAGUCGAACGAGUGGCGGACGGGUGAGUAAUGUCUGGGAAACUGCCUGAUGGAGGGGGAUAACUACUGGAAACGGUAGCUAAUACCGCAUACCAUUGGAUGUGCCCAGAUGGGAUUAGCUAGUAGGUGGGGUAAAGUCGCACCUAGGCGACGAUCCCUAGCUGGUCUGAGAGGAUGAUCAGCAACAGUGGAACUGAGACGAGGUGCAGAAUGCUACGGAAGGCAGCGUUGGGGAAGAUAGCACAAUGGGCGCAGGGCUGAUGCAGACAUGCGGCGUGAAUGAAGAAGGCAUUCGGGUUGUAAAGUACUUUCAGCGGGGAGGCGUUACCCGCAGAAGAAGCAACGGCUAACUCCGUGCCAGCGGCCGGGGUAGUUC